rnacentral:rRNA from 1 species
GGGGAAUUUUGGACAAUGGGGGCAACCCUGAUCCAGCCAUGCCGCGUGAGUGAAGAAGGCCUUCGGGUUGUAAAGCUCUUUCGGCCGGGAAGAAAUCGUGCAGGCUAAUACCCUGUAUGGAUGACGGUACCGGAAUAAGAAGCACCGGCUAACUACGUGCCAGCAGCCGCGGUAAUACGUAGGGUGCGAGCGUUAAUCGGAAUUACUGGGCGUAAAGGGUGCGUAGGCGGUUUAUCAAGUCAGGGGUGAAAGGCUACGGCUCAACCGUAGUGAGCCUCUGAAACUGGUGAACUUGAGUGUAGGAGAGGAAAGUGGAAUUCCCAGUGUAGCGGUGAAAUGCGUAGAUAUUGGGAGGAACACCAGUGGCGAAGGCGACUUUCUGGACUACAACUGACGCUGAGGCACGAAAGCGUGGGGAGCAAACA